ACUGAGUGGCGGACGGGUGAGUAACGCGUGGGUAACCUGCCCCAUACCGGGGGAUAACAUUCAGAAAUGAGUGCUAAUACCGCAUAAGACCACAGUGCCGCAUGGCACAGGGGUCAAAACUCCGGUGGUAUGGGAUGGACCCGCGUCUGAUUAGGUAGUUGGCGGGGUAACGGCCCACCAAGCCGACGAUCAGUAGCCGACCUGAGAGGGUGACCGGCCACACUGGGACUGAGACACGGCCCAGACUCCUACGGAAGGCAGCAG
rnacentral:rRNA from 1 species